GGGCCCGCACAAGCGGUGGAGCAUGUGGUUUAAUUCGAUGAUACGCGAGGAACCUUACCAGGACUUAAAUGUAAGUUGCAUGAUUCAGAAAUGAAUCUUUCUUCGGACUACUUACAAGGUGCUGCAUGGUUGUCGUCAGCUCGUGCCGUGAGGUGUCAGGUUAAGUCCUAUAACGAGCGCAACCCCUAUCGUUAGUUGCCAUCAAGUAAAGUUGGGAACUCUAGCGAAACUGCCGGUGCAAACCGUGAGGAAGGUGGGGAUGACGUCAAAUCAUCACGGCCCUUACGUUCUGGGCUACACACGUGCUACAAUGGCCGGUACAGAAAGCAGCCACUAUGCGAAUAGGAGCUAAUCUUUAAAACCGGUCUCAGUUCGGAUCGCAGUCUGCAACUCGACUGCGUGAAGCUGGAAUCGCUAGUAAUCG
rnacentral:rRNA from 1 species